rnacentral:rRNA from 1 species
GCUUGCUCUUCUGAUCAGUGGCGAACGGGUGAGUAACACGUGAGCAACCUACCCUUGAAACUGGGAUAACAGUUGGAAACAGCUGCUAAUACCGGAUACGAACCUCUCAGGCAUCUGAGAGGUUGGAAAGCUCCGACGGUCAAGGAUGGGCUCGCGGCCUAUCAGCUUGUUGGUGAGGUAACGGCUCACCAAGGCGACGACGGGUAGCCGGCCUGAGAGGGCGACCGGCCACACUGGGACUGAGAUACGGCCCAGACUCCUACGGGAGGCAGCAGUGGGGAAUAUUGCGCAAUGGGCGAAAGCCUGACGCAGCAACGCCGCGUGCGGGACGACGGCCUUCGGGUUGUAAACCGCUUUCAGCAGGGACGAAACUGACGGUACCUGCAGAAGAAGCACCGGCUAACUACGUGCCAGCAGCCGCGGUGAUACGUAGGGUGCGAGCGUUGUCCGGGAUUAUUGGGCGUAAAGAGCUCGUAGGCGGUCUGUCACGUCGGAAGUGAAAACUCGGGGCUCAACCCCGAGCCUGCUUUCGAUACGGGCAGACUUGAGGAAUGUAGGGGAGAACGGAAUUCCUGGUGGAGCGGUGGAAUGCGCAGAUAUCAGGAGGAACACCAGUGGCGAAGGCGGUUCUCUGGACAUUAACUGACGCUGAGGAGCGAAAGCGUGGGGAGCAAACAGGCUUAGAUACCCUGGUAGUCCACGCCGUAAACGGUGGGCACUAGGUGUGGGGGACUUCCACGUUCUCCGUGCCGUAGCUAACGCAUUAAGUGCCCCGCCUGGGGAGUACGGCCGCAAGGCUAAAACUCAAAGGAAUUGACGGGGGCCCGCACAAGCGGCGGAGCAU